rnacentral:lncRNA from 1 species
AGGGGAGAAGUCUCUGCCACGCUGUUCCCAGAAGGAGAGGAGGGCAGGAGAGCGACUAUAGGAAGAAGGAAGCUCUCAGCCCCGUGAUGUCGUGGCACAAAGUCAGAGGCCAGGAGAGCUCAACUCACUCAGGUGUGCAGCCAGACUCCUUGUCUC